UGCUUUUAUUUUUCUUUCUUCAUCUCUAGCUCUCUCUUUCUCAUUCUCUUUCUCUCAUACUCUCACCCUGUCACACACACAUUACUAGCGGAGAACAAAGUCGGAAUUUAAAGUUUGAUUCACCCAAGAGAAGAGUUUCUGAAGAGAGGGAGCUGCAUGAUGUACUUUGAAGAGAGAAGAAGAAGAAACAUAAAGACAUGUUGUGUUUCUCUAGAGAUGGUAGUGGUAGAGUUUCUGAAGAUCGGGCUCCAGCCAAAUGGGCACUAUAUGGAGCUGAUUAAUGAUGAGUCCUCAAGGGCAUGCUAUUUGAGCGGUCAGCCGGUCACCGAGUUGAUUUUGUUGCAUUAGGCGUUUUUUUAUGGGGUUGGUAUUAAAAAGCUCUGAAAGGCUUUACCUUUAAAGCGAAUAUUAUUG